rnacentral:rRNA from 1 species
CACCGCGGUUAUACGAGAGGUCCAAGUUGAUAGACAUCGGCGUAAAGAGUGGUUACGGACAAUUCCCUCGCUAAAGUCGAACACCCCCCAAGCUGUCAUACGCACUCGGGGGUCUGAAGCUCCGCCACGAAAGUGACUUUAUACCCACCCCGAACCCACUACAGCUAUGAAA